CCACAGGGAGCAGCAGGAGUGACUGCGGUACCAAGAUGGGGGACAGGGUAUGAGAAGAACAUCUCAAGAAAUCCUUUGCUGUGAAGCAAAGCACAAGAACAACUGUUCAAGCACAUUGACUGUGUGCAUGAAGUAAACCUGAUGCUCAUAUGGGGAUGCUUCACUGUGCCAUGGUACAUGAUGGCACCUGCCUAUCUUGGUCAGGAAACUCCUAGCGAGCAGGAUGAUUUGACCAAAGAGGCUCUGCAGGUGAAAUCACGAAGGGCUACGCUUGAACGGAUAGCACAAGCCUAG
rnacentral:lncRNA from 1 species